ensembl:lncRNA
GGAUUCUCAUAGGCAGACAGCUCCUGCCCCAGGAUGACGUUCUGCUACUUCACGGACAGGACGACUCCUGCCUACGUCUCCCCUUCUGACUCACAGCAGUGGCCUCCUCGCCCGUCUCAUUUCUCUCAAUGCUAUGGUCACUUUGCUUUAUGGAUUUGUAGCCCUUUAUUGCUGUGUGGUUGUUUUGUUUUGUGGGUUUUUUUUUUUUUUUUUUCUUAUAGCUAACAGGCCCCAUCCAUAGGUUUCACUCACUUUAUUUUUAUUUAUUUAUUUUGAGACAAGGUCUUGCUCUGUUACUCAGGCUGAAGUGCAGUGGUGCCAUCAAAGUUCACUGCAGCCUUGAACUCCUGAGCUUAAGUGAUCCUCCUGCUUCAGCCUCCUGAGUAGCUAGGACUACAGGUGCAUGCCACCAUGCCCAGCUAAAUAAAAAAAAAAGGUAUACCAUUUUCCCCAGGCUGGUCUCAAACUCCUGGACUGAAGCCAUCCUUCUGCCUAAGCCUCCUAGUGUGCUGGGAUUACAUGCAUGAGCCACUGCACCCAGCCUGUUUCCCUAACUUUAAAUGCUGCAGAGAAAGACUGGGAUGUAGGUCUCUAUUCUUUCAAUGGGCCGGAACCUUAAGUAGAUUACACCAUUCCCUGGGAAGACAAUUUUGCCAAACCAAAGAUAAUAGGUCAUAGUAGACCUUUCUCUUAGGACAGUAGAUGCUAAAUACCUUACAUUUUUGCAACUUAAAUGAUUCUUCCAAGAAUUAAAAAUGUCUAGGUCUAAAUUAGAUCUCUACCUGUAGUCAUUACAGUAAGUAGGAAAUUUACAUAAGUUUUGGUUCUGCUCCAUCAAUCACAUCUAUACACCCAUGGAAUGCUUUUCCCUCUACUGAUUAUCAGAGAGAGAUCUGAGUCUCAUCCCCAGCAUUUGUGAGCUCUAUAUUCCUAAGCCUUAUUUUCAAAUCCUCAAUCUCUCUCUUUUUUCUUUUUUGAGAUAGCCUCUCACUCUGUUGCCCAGGCUGGAAUACAGUGGUACAAUCAUGGCUCACUGCAGCCUCAACCUCCUGGGCUCAAACCAUCCUCCCACCUCAGCAUCCCAGUAACUCAGACCACAGAGGCACGCCACCAUGUUCAGUUAAUUAAAUUUUUUUUUUUUUUUGUAGAGAUGGGGGUCUCACUAUGUUGCCCAAGCUGGUCUUGAACUUCUGGGCUCAAGUGAUUCUCUUGCCUUGGUCUCUCAUAGUGCUGGGAUUACAGGUGUGAGCCACUGUGCCCAGCCCCUCUCUCUUUUACAAGGAAGAGAGUGCUCUUUGUGUCUGACUGUGAAAAGAAUAAUUCCUUUGGGCUGUGGGUAAUUAGAGAUGAGGAGAGAAGGUUUAUUUCAUCAACACUUUCUCAAUUACCUGUUGUACUGAUAGCUCAAAUCACACCUCACUUUCUUUUUAAAUAACCAGGGCAGGGUGAGCUGUCACGGAGCACUUUCUGUACACCUCCAUUAUGGCAUUCCUGAGUUGCCACACAUUUGGGUGGCUCCUGGGGGCUCAUGUGAAUAAUUUCUACUCAGUUUCAGUUCUCCCUCAUACAGCCGAGUGGCUGACUCAAACGAAGCACUCUUUAAUCCCAGGCUUAACAAAAAAAAAAAAAAAAA